rnacentral:rRNA from 1 species
UACGGAGGGUGCAAGCGUUAUCCGGAAUCACUGGGUUUAAAGGGUGCGUAGGCGGCACAAUAAGUCAGAAGUGAAAGGCUGUAGCUUAACUAUGGAAUUGCCUUUGAUACUGUAGUGCUUGAAUCAGGCUGAGGUCGGCGGAAUGUGACAUGUAGCGGUGAAAUGCUUAGAUAUGUCAUAGAACACCAAUUGCGAAGGCAGCUGACUAGACCUUGAUUGACGCUGAGGCACGAAAGCGUGGGGAGCGAACAGGAUUAGAUACCCGUGUAGUCC